GAAAAUGAUAGAAACUAGCAAAGAAGAACCCUCGUGCCCCAUGUUUUACUCUGAUAUUCCCAAAGCCGAUCCUCCCUCUUCAGAUUCUUGUUGACUCUCUCUCUCUCCCUCUCUCUUUCAAGCCUAUACUCUCUCUCUCUUUCUUCCUUCUUCUACAAUAAUACAAGAACCCAACCCUAGGGACACCCCACCCAAGUUGCUCUCCGACUGACCACCUCAAUUCAGGCGUCAACCAUGGCGGCACCGACCUGGCCGUGGACUCUCUCAGUUUCUCUAACUGUGACCCUAACUUUAACCCUUGUUUCCGUAGCCUAUGGCAACUCCGAAGGAGAUGCUCUUUACACCCUCAGGAGGAGCUUGUCGGAUCCGGAUAAUGUUCUUCAGAGCUGGGAUCCGACCCUUGUCAACCC
rnacentral:misc_RNA from 1 species